UACGUAGGGUGCAAGCGUUGUCCGGAAUUAUUGGGCGUAAAGAGCUCGUAGGUGGCCUGUCGCGUCGGCUGUGAAAACUCGGGGCUCAACCCCGGGAGGCGGGUGGAUACUGGUCAGCUCGAGUCCGGAAGAGGAGUGUGGAAUUCCUGGUGUAGCGGUGAAAUGCGCAGAUAUCAGGAGGAACACCAAUGGCGAAGGCAGCACUCUGGGACGGUACUGACGCUGAGACGCGAAAGCGUGGGGAGCAAACAGG
rnacentral:rRNA from 1 species